UACGUAGGGUGCGAGCGUUGUCCGGAAUUACUGGGCGUAAAGAGCUCGUAGGUGGUUUGUCACGUUGUCCGUGAAAACUCACAGCUUAACUGUGGGCGUGCGGGCGAUACGGGCAGACUGGAGUACUGUAGGGGAGACUGGAAUUCCUGGUGUAGCGGUGGAAUGCGCAGAUAUCAGGAGGAACACCGAUGGCGAAGGCAGGUCUCUGGGCAUUAACUGACGCUGAGGAGCGAAAGCAUGGGGAGCGAACAGG
rnacentral:rRNA from 1 species